CAGAAUGCAAUUUUGACUGAAAAGACAAUGGUGUGUGGAUCAAUGUACCAUGACAGUUUGAUUUGGAGAAUAAUUGCUUUAGGAGCAAAUGAACGAUGCCUACCUCUUAUACUUGUGACAUUAGAUAGGUUAAGAUAUCAAGCCAUGUUACAUUUGGUUGGACCCUAUAAGAAGCUAAAAUGCACAUGGUUACUGAUUACUUCACCCAUUCAGAGUGGAUGGUGAUUGAUGAUGUGCUUGGGCCAAACCCUCGACAUCUAUUUGAGCUUUAUGUGCUCAAACAAAGCAAUUAUUACCAAAAUUACUUUUAAGCUUUCUCUUGCGGUUGUAACUUA